rnacentral:misc_RNA from 1 species
GAUGAAGAACGUAGCGAAAUGCGAUAAGUAGUGUGAAUUGCAGAAUUCAGUGAAUCAUCGAAUCUUUGAACGCACAUUGCGCCCCUUGGUAUUCCAUGGGGCAUGCCUGUUCGAGCGUCAUCUACACCCUCAAGCUCUGCUUGGUGUUGGGCGUCUGUCCCGCCUCGGCGCGCGGACUCGCCCCAAAGGCAUUGGCAGCGGUCCACGGCCCCUCUCGCGCAGCACAUUGCGCUUCUCGAGGCGGCCCGGCCCGCAUCCACGAAGCCCACAUUACCGUCUUUGACCUCGGAUCAGGUAGGGAUACCCGCUGAACUUAAGCAUAUCAAUAAGCGGAGGA